rnacentral:rRNA from 1 species
UACGUAGGUGGCAAGCGUUGUCCGGAUUUAUUGGGCUUAAAGGGUGCGUAGGCGGUCUAUUAAGUCAGUGCUGAAAUAUCCCGGCUUAACCGGGAGGGUGGCAUUGAUACUGAUGGACUUGAGUAAAGUUGAGGUUGGCGGAAUUGACGGUGUAGCGGUGAAAUGCUUAGAUAUCGUCAAGAACACCUAUUGCGAAGGCAGCUAACUAAGCUUAAACUGACGCUGAGGCACGAAAGUGUGGGGAUCAAACAGG